AUCGUGCCCCUUAUGACCUGGGCUACACACGUGCUACAAUGGGCGGUACAAAGGGUCGCGAACCUGCAGGGGGAGCCAAUCCCAAAAAGCCGCUCUACAGUUCGGAUUGCAGGCUGCAACUCGCCUGCAUGAAGCCGGAAUCGCUAGUAAUCGCGGAUCAGCAUGCCGCGGUGAAUACGUUCCCGGGCCUU
rnacentral:rRNA from 1 species